GACGAACGCUGGCGGCGUGCUUAACACAUGCAAGUCGAACGAAGAGCGACGGAAGCUUGCUUCUAUCAAUCUUAGUGGCGAACGGGUGAGUAACGCGUAAUCAACCUGCCCUUCAGAGGGGGACAACAGUUGGAAACGACUGCUAAUACCGCAUACGAUCUAAUCUCGGCAUCGAGGAUGGAUGAAAGGUGGCCUCUACAUGUAAGCUAUCACUGAAGGAGGGGAUUGCGUCUGAUUAGCUAGUUGGAGGGGUAACGGCCCACCAAGGCGAUGAUCAGUAGCCGGUCUGAGAGGAUGAACGGCCACAUUGGGACUGAGACACGGCCCAGACUCCUACGGGAGGCAGCAGUGGGGAAUCUUCCGCAGUGGACGAAAGUCUGACGGAGCAACGCCGCGUGAGUGAUGACGGCCUUCGGGUUGUAAAGCUCUGUUAAUCGGGACGAAAGGCCUUCUUGCGAAUAGUGAGAAGGAUUGACGGUACCGGAAUAGAAAGCCACGGCUAACUACG
rnacentral:rRNA from 1 species